rnacentral:tRNA from 1 species
UGGCUCAGUGGUAGAGCAUGGUGUUUGCAACGCCAGGGUUGUGGGUUCGUUUCCCAC